rnacentral:rRNA from 1 species
UACGUAGGUGGCAAGCGUUGUCCGGAUUUAUUGGGCGUAAAGGGAGCGCAGGCGGUGACUUAAGUCUGAUGUGAAAGCCCACGGCUCAACCGUGGAAGGUCAUUGGAAACUGGGUCACUUGAGUGCAGAAGAGGAGAGUGGAAUUCCAUGUGUAGCGGUGAAAUGCGUAGAUAUAUGGAGGAACACCAGUGGCGAAGGCGACUCUCUGGUCUGUAACUGACGCUGAGGCUCGAAAGCGUGGGGAGCAAACAGGAUUA